rnacentral:rRNA from 1 species
AACGAACGUUGGCGGCAGGCUUAACACAUGCAAGUCGAGCGCCCCGCAAGGGGAGCGGCAGACGGGUGAGUAACGCGUGGGAAUCUACCCAUCUCUACGGAAUAACGCAUGGAAACGUGUGCUAAUACCGUAUACGUCCUUCGGGAGAAAGAUUUAUCGGAGAUGGAUGAGCCCGCGUUGGAUUAGCUAGUUGGUGGGGUAAAGGCCUACCAAGGCGACGAUCCAUAGCUGGUCUGAGAGGAUGAUCAGCCACACUGGGACUGAGACACGGCCCAGACUCCUACGGGGGGCAGCAGUGGGGAAUAUUGGACAAUGGGCGCAAGCCUGAUCCAGCCAUGCCGCGUGAGUGAUGAAGGCCCUAGGGUUGUAAAGCUCUUUCACCGGUGAAGAUAAUGACGGUAACCGGAGAAGAAGCCCCGGCUAACUUCGUGCCAGCAGCCGCCGUAACAC